AAACCACGGCUGUCUGAAUGCCCAGGUACACAGCGGAAGAUCUUGGGGACAGAAUUGAAAAGAAACUCCUGUCCUCCGGAGCUGGGGGAAUUUGCGUGGCUGUUCUCUGCAGCAGAACCCGUCCUCCCUCCCCGUGCCUGGGCUGGACACUGCAGAUGUAAUUACCAAACAAAUCGAUAGUCCGUCUUGUGGUCUGAGCAUCCUUGGUUAUGCGCCAUUUCACUCCUGGGAACUCAGUUUGUGUCGCAUCCAUGCCGGAUGCGUUGCGGAGUCCCAGCCCACCCAGCCAGCUCAGAAUAAUGCCCAGAGCGUUUAAUCUUCCUCGUGAACGAGCGCUUUACGAACAGAUUCCCGUUCGUUCGUUCGUUCUCGCUGUUCCCCUUUGAAGCGGGCUCAGCAAGAAGGGACUGGCGUGAGGUCAGCGAGCCGGCGUGUCAAGGGUGCCUUCUCUGACUUUUACUUGGCCAAGGAGAGGAUUAUAAUAAAUGUACUACGGGAUUUUUGUUUCUGGAAAAGUGAUAAAUGCCAUUUUUUUAUUUUAAAAAAAUUUAAAGAAAAACCCUCUUGACUACAUUGCAUGAAAGUCUGAGACAUAAACUUCCAUCUCCCCGCCUUGUUGUCUUCAAAGAAGACACGGGAUGAGGCACUGAGGCCGGAUUUUCUGUCCUCGUCAAACUAGAGUCACUCAGAGCCCAGACUCAGGGUGAGAGCUGAACUCCCAACAACUUCAGGCUGGUGGCCCACAGGCGAAGCUGGCCUACAGAUCAGUUUAGUGUAUUAAUACAAGGAAUCUGAAGAACCAUGUUAGUCGAAUACUUUUUAUUUAUCAAAGACCCUCUCCCGUUCUGAUUAUGUUCUACCCAGGUCUCCUCGUGUACGUGCAUACCUCCCACCCAGCUCUGCUGCAGGUUCACGACCCAAGCAUCUCUAAGGAUGCCCUCAGGAACGAUUACCUGCGCCUCUUUGCUCUUCCCUUAGAAUAUUUACAAGGACCGCGAUACUAAUGGAGAACAAAUGACCACUGGUAUAAAGCAGACAUACGCAUCUGUCAAGCGGUUGCUGCAUACCUACAGGGGGCUGAACACUCUACAGUCUCCAACACUCCGGACUCCAACCAAUCCCAGGAGGGUGCGGUUGCUCUGCAUCGCUUUGCAUCCUGGGUAGAGAAGAUGUGUCGCUUAAGGCCGCACCGUGGUGGUAGGAGUGGUGGUAGGAUUGAGAGCUGUGGUUUUGAAUCUGGGUCUUUCCGAGCCCAGGAUCCAAGAACCGUUAUUUAAAGUCUUCAACAACCGGCAGGGCAUGGGGAUGACUGGUCAGAAUGGAGGAUGGGUAUAUAUGGCAGGUCUCAGAACCGCGGCGGAAGUGGCCAGCUCUCCGCAGCGGGUGCGUCUUAUAAAAAGAUAAAAGAGGGAAUUGGAGACAAUCCCCGACGGAACGCUAAUCUCUCGGGAUGAUGGCUAAGUCGGUUACCCUGGUUUUGCUACCACUUGCUGUAACACGGAGUCCCUGUACUGAGCUGCACAUCGAUACACAGCCAUCACACAUCAAUUAAAAUAACCAAGUAAAGAAUUAACGCGGGAACGAUGGAUGGAACGGAGGCCAAUGAUUGCUUUUCCUUCCUGUCAAGAGGAGAGUUAUUUCUCUUAAGUCAGCUGUUGCGUCUCGUGGUCAUUUCACAAAAGAAAGUGCAUUUAGAGCGUAAAGCACAAGAAAGAGAGACCCAUUAGCUCCGAAUAAAGAAUUUGCUCCUGAA